GUCAUCAAAAAGGUUUUUCGACAACCAGUCAGACCUAUUUGUUUUCUGCGGAAUCUUCCUGCCGCGCAAUCGCCAGACAGCAUCGGAAUCACAAGACGUACCCGGCGUAGGAAAGUUUCGACAGCUUUGAGAGCACAAACGAUAGUGGACUCCCAGGGCAACUAUUCAUCCAUCUAAUUUGAAGAGGUAACUGUACCGACUGCAAUCGCUUCCGGUCCGGUCCAAGGAGACUCAACAUCUGGCGCUGAAACCCUUCAUCAGUUGUUCGGAUGGAACUGUCCGCCAACAAACAUCGUCCAAUGUACCGGUUCAAGAAUUCUUAUCCUGGUGAAAAUCGAUUAUCUAAAUGAUGAACAUGUAUGGGAGAGUGGGGAAUCAUGG